GACGGACUGCCUACUCUCAACUGCUACUACAAUGGCCUCUGCUUUUCAGAGCUAGCUGUUUUUGUGCUCUCAACUCCCCUGUUUCCCUUCCUAUCAUCAACGGUAUACAAUCCCGCUCAGUCCCCGUACAAUCACGACCUUAAUCCCUCCACCCCAGAACGUCAGUCCUCUGAAAUUCCCCCCUUGGUCAUAUUUUUACUCUAGGCAUCGACUUGCAACAGUUUAAGUUGAAAGUUAAUGGCAUUAAUUUCAUUGAUAUUGGUAAGUAAAAAACAGACCAAAACAACAGCAUAUGUCCUCGCAUAUGCUGACACACGCAGAAAUAUGCGUAUCGCCUAGCAAUGUCACAACCGGUUAAAAAGAAAACACCUUGAUAUAAAGCAACAGUAGGAUCGAUUAAAGGAAUGUUUCUGUUAAGUUAAAUUAUUUAUUGGAGAGGAUGAGACAUCUGCCGCUUUGUUUACAUUAAAAUGAACAGAUCAGGAAGGCUUAAAGUUUAUUGAACAACUGAAAAGUUGUUGGCUGAUACUUAACCAAACAUGAUUAAUAACGUUUAAUUAUAAUUCAGUGUUUAUGAUUUAAGAAGCUUUAUGCUCGAUCAAAUCCGCAGGAUAUACAGUUCAGUAAGAGGCGUUAGAUGAAGCAUGCAAGAUGCAAUAGGAGUACUGUCAAGAGAUCUAACUAAAAAACCCCUUGGAAUUGAAUCAAGUGGGAGACUUCAGUUAAGUGGCUAAAACAGAAAAAAAAAAAAAACAAGAGAGAGAGAGAGUAAGUGAUAUAAAAGAGGUGACCAACUAAGUGAGCAGUGAGAAGAGAGUCCACAGUAGCAGAAAGUCGGAUUGCUGUGACCACAAGUCCGUAGUAUGUAUUAUGUAGAUACGAACACAGUAAACUGGAUGACCAUCAACGCCGACUGAUCCAUGUGGAAUUCAAGCAGCCUAAGUUUACUGUUUCUUUGCCUGGACUGGAACUACAAAUACAGUAAAUGCUGCAACAUCAAUAAAUUAAGAAAGAAGUUGUCAAUCAAGUGAUAUAAAAUCUCAAAAUGACAUACAGAGAAUUACUAAAUGUCUUCGACAAAAACUCUUCCUCUAAAUGUCAUCAAUGCAGUAGUAAUAUUUUGUUCUCACUCAUACUAUUUACUGGAAUCUCUCAAAUUGGUUUGAGUAUUGGCCUUUUAUUUCUGUGUAGAAAUCAAAUAAGUGAGGUAUCUUGUGCUUUCUCACUAAAAGCUCACCCUUGUACAGGUUUAGCCGCCCCUGUCUAUAUUGGAUGUCUUAUUCUCUGCAUAGCAAUCUUUGGAUUUGCCUGUCUUGGUCGGCGAGCAUCAGCAGCACUACUUUUAUUCAUUACUGUUGGUGACAUUUGCCUGGGUUUUAUGCAAUUAGCAAGUGAGAAAAUUCUGUUCACUGACUAUUUUAAUACAUUUAAUUCAAGAGAAAUCUGUCAAUCUGCCCAACAAAAUUCAUCUCAACUUUUACAAUGCUGGAACCAUAUUACACACCUAUACCCAGCCUGUAGUAUAUAUGAACAUGAGAUAACCAAUGAUUGUGUUCACAGCUAUAAUAUUUACUUCAAUCGAUCAAAUCAAUCUGAAAGUAACAGAACUACUGUGCCAUGCAUUAGUGAUAUUAAUAGAUUGGUCAGUUCAACUUAUACGGACUUCCGAUUUAUGUGUGGCCCUAUUGUAUUACUCAAUGCUUUUGUCUGUGUCAUUCUAAUACUAUUUCUAGAGUUUUUUCAUCAACAGAAACAGAAUAGUAAAAAACAGCAACAUGACUUAGCAGCACUAGAAGGAAUUUAUGAAAUUUCUGAACAAAAGUAAUAAAAAUAUUUAUUCAAUGUCAAUAAUUUAUCCUCAUAAUCGUACUUCGGUUCACAUUCUAUUUUACUAAAAAAAGUCAACUUUUGGUGAUCAUUCUAAAUUGAAUUAAAAGUAUUUUCUAAUACUAAUAACAUUGAAUUUUCGGCCCUGUUUUUAGAAUGACAUUAACUAAAGAUAUAAAGUGUCAAACAGACCAUAUGUAUUAUAUAUUUAUAUAUAUAUUUAUUUAAAUACUGAGUGUAUUUUAUUUAAUCUAAAUAAGAACUAAAUGAAAGGACCAUUUUAUGAUAUAAUGGCAAGUCGUAGGAAGAAUAUUCAGGAGUUAGAGAAGGCAUUUCAUUAUCCCUUUUUAUAGCAACACACAAGGUUGCCUUGCUGCCAUAAUUUUAUAAGAAAUCUCAACUUCAAAAUGAUAAAAUUAGUUAUUUUACUAAAUCCUUACAAAUUCUAGAUUAUUUCAAAAUUAAUUGAAGCAUGUUGGUAGUGUUUUGUUAGGAACAUGAUUAUAAAAGGAUUAAAUUUAAUGAUUAGACCAACCAAAGCCAGAAUGGAAAAUGGAUAUAUCUUGCAAAAAAAAAAAAAAAAUCAACAUAAUAGUUGUGUGAGUUAUGUGUGUAUAAAUAUGCCAUGAUAAAAAUAUAUAACAACUACUUACUUUUAACAAUUAUCUUUGAAAUUUUUCAUAUUAUAUAUAUUUUUAAAUGUGCUGGUAAAACUGUGCAAAAACUCCCACAAUGACCCCAUUUUGAGUGCUCCUUAUACAACAAGGAUUGUUGAAAUCCACAUUUAAACCUUUCACAGUUGCUUCUUUUGCAAAUGUAUUCCAGGUGCUAAUCUUGUGUAGUACAGUUUAACAUCACAUUUCACCUAAACAUUGAAGCCUACAGUCAUUGUAAGGAUGUUGGUCUACUCUCACCUUUUGCUACCUGCUAGUCUAUUGGAAAUAGGAUUGCUAUUUGAAUUGAGAGAAAGUUCCUACUAUUUUUUUUUACAUCUAAUAUCUAAUUUCAAUGAAGAUUUUUUUAAGAUACAUUGUCAGCUAUUUGUAGAUAUUUUUACUAAUGUAAUAUGAUAUGAGAUUGACAAUAGUCACAUGGUCAAGUAAAAUCAUAUAUUGGUUAAUUGUGUUAAAUUUCUUAUCAAAGUGAUCAAUAUUGGGUGUAGCUGUUGUACUCCUUUAUCCUAAGUUAAGUAACUUGUAAUAUUGUGUAAUGGAUUGGUUAUAUAUGUAUGAUAUGCACCUCUAGAAUAACAUUACUUGAUAGGGUGCAAAGCUCAGAGAUCAGGGAAUCUCUCUAGGUUGAGCUAAUCCACAUUGGGAGGUCACAGCUCUGAUACUAUGGACAUGUGAUAAGAAUGUCUUUAAAAAGAAUCACAAGGUGAAUUCUUCAAGCUGAACUAACCAGCAGGAAACCUAGGGGUAGAUUUAGAAUGAGAUGGUUGAAUAAUAUCCUAAGACUCAGUUGGUUGCACUUGGGAAUCCAAAGGGAAAGUCUAAUGAUGGCUGCUUCUUAUGGAGGAGAUGCCUGAAGAUUCUACUCCAACAAACCUCCCAGAAAUAGUGGGCAGAAAAGAUGGAUGGAUGGAUGGAGAUGCACCUAAGACUGGUGCAGUGUACAUUUUGUUUAACUUCCUUAUUUAGUCACAUUCUUGUAUACCACUUAUGAAAUGAUCAGAGAAAAUGUGAUGCCAAACUACAUUAAGAAUGUCCAACAGCCAGUAUGCAUAUGGAAAAAAGGAACAAUAGAAAGAACUUAGUAUCAAUUCUUAAAAUUAAGUCUUGAUAAGCAUUGAAGAACACUCAUAAUAUAGAUCUCUCAAUGCUAAAUUAAAAGACACUUACAUCUAUAAAUUUGAAAAGUUU